rnacentral:rRNA from 1 species
AUGUUACUACGCCUCCUCGCGCUGAUCUUUGCCGCCGUCUUGGCGGCGUCCUCGAGCUCCGUCGAUGCCCGUGUCCUUCACCCUAUCUUCCUCCCCUUCGGCGACAAUGGCCGUCGCCUGAUCGGCAUCCAGCGCUGCGAAGAAUGCUUCGGCAUAUGUCAAGAGGUGCACUACAGGACGCUGUGUAGCACGAUGGCGACGCUGCCCGGGGUGACGACCCCGCAGCAGCUCCUGGACACGGCCCUGCGGAUGACGGCGGCCAAGUCGGCGAUGACGGAGAUGCGGCUCGACGAGGCGAUGAGGGCAGGCCUGGGCAACACCAUCCCGAUGAUGUCGUCGCUGCAGUCGUGCAGGGACAGCUACGCGUCGCUGACGGACUCGCUGGGGAAGUCGCGGACGACGCUCAAGAAGGGGGGCAGCCGCGACGAUCUCAUGUCGGAGCUGUCGGCGGCCAGCACCUACUCCACCGACUGCCGGGACAUCUUCGGCGAGCGCCCGGAGCUCAAGUCGCCGAUACGCGGCGCGCAGCGCCACAUCACGCGCCUCGUCAGCAACUGCCUCGACCUGGCUACCGCCAUCAGGCAGCCCUGA